GGAGGACUGUGGUUCAGUGGCCAAGUAUGUGUCUAGCAUGCAAACGGUGCCAGGUUCAAUCCCUGGUGUCUCCA